GCCCUUAGAGUUUGAUCCUGGCUCAGGACGAACGCUGGCGGCGCGCCUAACACAUGCAAGUCGAACGAGCGAGAGAGAGCUUGCUUUCUCGAGCGAGUGGCGAACGGGUGAGUAACGCGUGAGGAACCUGCCUCAAAGAGGGGGACAACAGUUGGAAACGACUGCUAAUACCGCAUAAGCCCACGGCUCGGCAUCGAGCAGAGGGAAAAGGGGCAAUCCGCUUUGAGAUGGCCUCGCGUCCGAUUAGCUAGUUGGUGAGGUAAUGGCCCACCAAGGCAACGAUCGGUAGCCGGACUGAGAGGUUGAACGGCCACAUUGGGACUGAGACACGGCCCAGACUCCUACGGGAGGCAGCAGUGGGGAAUAUUGCACAAUGGGGGAAACCCUGAUGCAGCGACGCCGCGUGGAGGAAGAAGGUCUUCGGAUUGUAAACUCCUGUUGUUGGGGAAGAUAAAGACGGUACCCAACAAGGAAGGACGGCUACUCU
rnacentral:rRNA from 1 species